GUUCCACCGCACAGCACCUCUGGAAACCUGUCCAUCCAGAUGCAUGAACUGUGGUGGUGUGGAACCCACCCUCUCCCACAUCCUGAGCCCAACCCCAAACUGGACAAACAGCCGUCUGCAUUCCGCACCCUAGCCUGGACUUGGAAUGGGGACUUUUGGAAUAUGAAACAAACCAGAACCGACAGCCAACCCACUGCUCAAUGACCAGGAGCCCCACCAGCCCAGCAUCACAGGGGAACAAAACCCAAACAUCAAAGCCAGACGGCUUCCCUAAGACCUCCCAUGAUGGGGAAAACAGAAAACAAAACCAAAAAGUCCCCCCAAAAAAGUCAUUGGAAAUUAUCCAAAUGUCCAAUGACAGGGGCCCAUCAGGGUCUAUGAUGCACACGGGGACGUUGAGGGCCACCACAGGCACCUCCUUACAGAGCUUUCCAGGCAGCAAAGUCCCAUGACUCCCGAGGCCAAGAGCUAGCGGGCAGUGGCAAGCGCACCUGCUGGGCCCACUUCAGCCUGCCAGCAGGGAUCUCCCGCAUCCAAACUCUGAUGAGAGGAGCGCACAUGUACCCUGUGGCCAGAGGAAGGUGAGUCCCCAGAGCCACAGAGCCUCCUCUGUGCCUGCGGACCCAGGACACCUGGAGCAGAUACGGUAUCAAGAACCCCUGAGAAGCACUCACGUCAUCAGACGCCCAUGCAGAAGUCCACAGUGCAGGGGCCAGAUGUUACAGACCUGUAACAGCCUCCCUGGGCACCCUUGGUCGACUCCUGCUGGCAUCCUCAGAACCUCACUGUAACCAGGUCACCUGGAGACUAUGGCUGCUGCCCUGAAGCCUCUCACCAGUGAAGCCGCUACCACCUGCUGAGGACAAGGCAGCCUCACCAGAGCUGGGGAAGCCGUCCACUCCUUCCUGGGCACACAUGGGCCCCCAAGGACCCCGAGAGCCCAGUUCAUGGUCCCCAAGGAGACAGCCGUUCAAGUCAGGACAGCUGUGAGGCCCCCCGCCCCAAGUGAGUGCUCACAUGCUCAGCCACUGCUCUCGCCACCCUCGCUCCUGCUGCCCGCAGCUGCCAAACAAGGCCAGACCCUGCCUGGCUCUCCAAGGACUCCUCCUGCCCCUGGGAGCCCAGCAUGUGACAGGCAGCCCCUGGAGAUGUCACACAGGCUGCUCUCACCCUGACCUGAGUGGAAGUUUAGCAGCUCAGCCUCUCCGUCCUCAGUCUUCUGGGCCAUCAGAUGAGCAGUGGUCGUGGGAUCCACCCCCUGGGGUCGUAGGGCUGGGGGAGGUGGUGCUUAAGAGGAGAGCAGCCCAGCCCGGGGCCCUCGGAGCUGUUUGCAAAUCAACUGGCCGGGGCUGUGCUCACUGUGCCCAUGCCCCACGGCCAUUGGUUCUGUGACUACCCAGCACAGGCCUGGCUCACAGAGAUGCCAGCACCUCCAGAAGGACCAGGAAAGAAAGGCACUUGUCUGUGCCUUGGAACCGCUGCCCUGCCCAGCCACCUGCGGCAGGUCCUCCUGCUUCUGCCCUCUGGCCUUGGUCUCAGCCUGCGGUCCUGGGAGUUCUCUGGAUGGAGGCAGGGAGGUUGGCCAGCCUCCCUCUGUGGUGAGUGGGCUCUCCAGUCCCUUCUCUGCUCCACCUGUUUGGGGCCACGCUGGUAUCAGGCACAGGGACAGGGUUAGCUUCAGGACACCCCCGCCCCACAAGCUGUCCAGAAGGCUCUGGCAGAAAGCAGGCCAGCAGCAGGCCAGCUGUGGAGGAAGAGGCCACCCUGCCGUCCCACUCUGCCUUCAAAAGCAGCAGUGCCCAGGGGACCUGCCAGGGAAGCCUGGGCUCCCGCUGGGGCUUUCUUCCCUCACAGGCAGACCCACCUGGACAGGCCCAUCCCCUCUGGAGGGAGCUGAGCGGCUCUAGGUCCACAGGACCCCAUCUGGCCUCUGACAAUGCUGGGAGGACCCCUGGAGUGGGAGCCUCAAGGAGAGGGGCCCAGGGCAGAGCCCUGGUCACUCCCAGAUGGGCAGCACAGGGCCAUUGAGCAUGAGGGCCCCACGUACAGAGUCCCUAGGCCUGGUGGGGGGAGCUGCCAGGCCUCCUUCUUCCACUCCUCAACUUCCUGGGGUGACACUCAGGCAUGGCAUGUCCCCCUGGGCCCAUCAGAGCCAGGCAGGCUAGCUCCUCGCAGGCAGGGCUGCUUCCGAUACCCCGUGGCACACACCCUCAGCCAGGGGGCCAGCUGCUCUCCUCUGGGGCAGGAGGCAGGGCAGAGGGGGAGAACCCGGCUCCGGCUGCGGGAGGCGUCUUCCCGGGCUUGACAUGAGCCAUUAAGCCUCCGACUCCUGCAGUGUACAUAUAAUUAUGCUGGCUUCACACACAGGGAGACCAAGGCAGCGGCCUUCUCAAGGUUGUGAUGGGGUUCCCACCCCAGUGACCUUGCCCUGGCACCAGACCACCUGCAGGGGUGGCCCUGAAUGACCUGAGAAGUUCCUACAGCCAGACACUGGAUCUGACAUGGCCCUCUCUAUGCGCAGAGGCCACGCAGGAGGAAACAGGGAGGAGGACAGCAGCAAGACCAGGCAGAGCUGGGGGCAGAAGUCCAGCAUGGGGCACCCCACUGGCCUGCAGCCAGGCCCCAGGCCAGAUGUUGAGGUUUUUUAAGAACCCCAUAGCUCUGGUUUUUAUGUGGAACAUGGGACUGGUUUAAAGUUUAUGUUCCUUUAAAACACUGCACAAAGCAAAGAAAAUGUGGGAGGAGAAACAAACCUGGGCCCAGUAUCUUAAUUGGCACCAUCCACGAAAAAUCCAAAGUGAGACUCAGGUGUGAUUUGAAGUGUUCUUGCUUUUUUGGAACUGGAGGUUGAACCCCGGGGCACACAACCACUGAGCUGCAUCCCCAGUCCUUUUUGGUAUUUUAUUUAGAGACAGGAGCUCACUGAGGUGCUUAGGGCCUAAGUUGCUGAGGCUGGCUUUGAACUCGAAAUCCUCCUGACCCAGACUCCUGAGCCACUGAGAUUACAGGUGUGUGUACCACACCUGGCCUUGUAGUAACUUUUUUUAAAAAACAAAGAGAAAUAUGUAAAAGAAUGGUGAUAACUACUUUACCUAACCCUAUAAUCCAAAAUAUAAUUUUAAUGCUUAACCAGGAAAAAAAGAUUAUUACGGAGCGCUGUCUCCAAAACCUAGGCACAUCUCUGUAGUGCUGGCCGGUUUCAGUUGCACAGAAGCUCUGGGGCUGCAGCCAGCUUGGUGGGGUGGCCCCUCAGACCCCAGCCCUCUGCACAUGUGCUCAGGCCACCCAGUCCCCAGUCUCCUCCGCAGCAGGAAGACGGUCCCAGUGGGCAGCCCUUUAUCUCCAUGGCCUUUUGUCCUCCCCAGCCCUUCAAAGGUCACCACCCUUUCUUGCCUGAGAGGCGGAGGCAGGCAAUGGGCUACCAGGAAGCCACCACUUGGUAACCACAGGCUGUGGACAGAGCUGUUUGCUGGGGUCAGUUGCUGCUGGGAGGAUGUGACUAAAACCAGAGCCAGGAGGUUGCAAAGGAGCAGCCUGGUAUCCACCUGCUGAGACCCUGUAAGGGCACAGAGGCCCCUGCUCCAGCUCCAAGGUGGGGGCUGGAACCCAAGCCAGUGGGCAGGGACUUGGGAGUCAGGCCUCAGGUCCUCCAGCAGGGCACUGUCCUUCCCUGUUUGGGCGGCUUGUGUGUGUAUCCACUGGGCCCCGAGAGUGGUCCACCCUUGGCAGCAUAUUUCACGAGGCUUCUGAGUGACUCACAGGCUGCAAGGCCUUGGUGAGGCAUGGCACGUCCCAUGCUUUGCACGCUUGACGUUCCACGUGGAAGGAGAAACAGCGUGACUGCUGAGGACCCCCCUGUGUGGGCAGCGACCAUGUCUUCUGCUCCCUCCUCCUGCUGCCUGAGGGGUCAGGUCUACGUCGCCCCAGGAUUUGCCCUUCCAGCAGUAGCAGCUCCUGGAGAGGAGGACUGCAAGACCUCAGGAGGCGCUCGGGAUGCCAUCCUGGAUCUGACUCUGUGGCCAAGCUUGUGGCCCCCACCUGCGGUAAGCAGCACGCUCUCCCGUCAGGGGCCAGAGCCUGGGUGUUGUCUGUGCUCUGACCUGGGUCACAGGGCCCAGAAGACCCACAGAGCAUCUUGCUCCCGGUCGCUGGUGGCCCUGGGCGGCCAGUUAGGUGAGCGCACCCAUGGGAGGCCCUUUUGUACCCAUAAAUGACGAGAACCAGAGUGACAACCUGGCCAACCAAGGUGAUGGUAACCACCUGCACUUACCCUGCUUCACUCCCAGGGGCACAGGUCUCCGGCCGGCUGCCCUCUGUGCCCCUGGGGAUUAGUUUAGCUGCAGUUGCUGCUGGACUCAAGCCUCCCAGAAGCCAGAGGGGGCCUGAUGUAAAGGUUUCCUGGACUCUACCACUCAGGUUUCUCUCCUACGUAUCUUAACUUGGGUGGGCCCCUGUGAGGAAUGUCAGUCCAGACCCCAAUCUGGGCAGUGGAUUCAAAACUUGCAUUA
rnacentral:lncRNA from 1 species